rnacentral:rRNA from 1 species
UGGGGAAUAUUGCACAAUAGGCGCAAGCCUGAUGCAGCGACGCCGCGUGAGGGAUGGAGGCCUUCGGGUUGUAAACCUCUUUCGCCAGUGAAGCAGGCCAUCUUCUUUGUGGGGUGGUUGACGGUAGCUGGAUAAGAAGCGCCGGCUAACUACGUGCCAGCAGCCGCGGUAAUACGUAGGGCGCGAGCGUUGUCCGGAAUUAUUGGGCGUAAAGAGCUCGUAGGCGGCUGGUCGCGUCUGUCGUGAAAUCCCCUGGCUUAACUGGGGGCUUGCGGUGGGUACGGGCCGGCUUGAGUGCGGUAGGGGAGACUGGAAUUCCUGGUGUAGCGGUGGAAUGCGCAGAUAUCAGGAGGAACACCGGUGGCGAAGGCGGGUCUCUGGGCCGUUACUGACGCUGAGGAGCGAAAGCGUGGGGAGCGAACAGG